CCUACGGGGGGCAGCAGUGGGGAAUAUUGCGCAAUGGGCGAAAGCCUGACGCAGCGACGCCGCGUGAGGGAUGAAGGUCUUCUGAUCGUAAACCUCUGUCAGCAGGGAAGAACGGUCACUGUGCUAAUCAGCAGUGAAUUGACGGUACCUGCAAAGGAAGCACCGGCUAACUCCGUGCCAGCAGCCGCGGUAAUACGGAGGGUGCGAGCGUUAAUCGGAAUUACUGGGCGUAAAGCGCUCGUAGGCGGUAUGUCAAGUCAAGGGUGAAAUCCCCGCGCUCAACGUGGGAACUGCCUUUGAAACUGGCAAACUGGAGUGUGUGAGAGGAUAGUGGAAUUCCAGGUGUAGGAGUGAAAUCCGUAGAUAUCGGGAGGAACAUCAGUGGCGAAGGCGACUAUCUGGAACAUAACUGACGCUGAGGAGCGAAAGCGUGGGUAGCAAACAGGAUUAGAUACCCCAGUAGUC
rnacentral:rRNA from 1 species